rnacentral:snRNA from 1 species
GGCUGUGAGGGCAACUGGCUGACAUCUGUCACCCUAUUGAUCUCCAGGGUUGAUUCAACUGAUUUAGCUGGCUAGGCAUUCUUCCCUCACUGCUCCAUGUGUGUCCCUCCUGAAGCUCUGAGCUUGAUCGAAAAGGAUGACCCCCUUGUAUAGGAAAGGACUAUUUCCUCAGUCAAGAGUAUGUGAGCAGCUGUGCUUCCCUGCUAGAACCUCCAAAGAAGCUCUCAAGAAUGAGGACUUGAGCUCUCAGAAACUCAGUACCUGCAGUGGAGGAGGGGGAGCGAGGCACUGAAUGUAAGGUGAAGUGCAUGCGU